rnacentral:rRNA from 1 species
UACGAAGGGGGCUAGCGUUGUUCGGAUUCACUGGGCGUAAAGGGUGCGUAGGUGGCCAGGUAAGUCUGAUGUGAAAUCUCGGAGCUCAACUCCGAAACUGCAUUGGAUACUAUCUGGCUGGAGGGUCGGAGGGGGGACUGGAAUUCUCGGUGUAGCAGUGAAAUGCGUAGAUAUCGAGAGGAACACCAGUGGCGAAGGCGAGUCCCUGGACGACACCUGACACUGAGGCACGAAAGCUAGGGGAGCAAACAGG